AACGAACGCUGGCGGCAGGCCUAAAACAUGCAAGUCGAACGGGUGUAGCAAUACAUCAGUGGCGCACGGGUGAGUAACGCGUGGGAACGUGCCCUUCAGUACGGGACAACGUCGGGAAACUGACGCUAAUACCGUAUAAUAUCUCCGGAUCAAAGAUUUAUCGCUGAAGGAGCGGCCCGCGUCUGAUUAGCUAGUUGGUGGGGUAAUGGCCUACCAAGGCUACGAUCAGUAGCUGGUCUGAGAGGAUGAUCAGCCACGACUGGGACUGAGACACGGCCCAGACUCCUACGGGAGGCAGCAGUUAGGAAUAUUGGACAAUGGGCGAAAGCCUGAUCCAGCCAUGCCGCGUGUGUGAUGAAGGCCCUAGGGUUGUAAAGCACUUUCGUUGGGGAUGAUAAUGACCGUAACCCAAAGAAGAAGCCACGGCUAAAUUCGUG
rnacentral:rRNA from 1 species